GGGUUGUGAGGUUAAGCGACUAAGCGUACACGGUGGAUGCCCUGGCAGUCAGAGGCGAUGAAGGACGUGCUAAUCUGCGAUAAGCGUCGGUAAGGUGAUAUGAACCGUUAUAACCGGCGAUUUCCGAAUGGGGAAACCCAGUGUGAUUCGUCACACUAUCAUUAACUGAAUCCAUAGGUUAAUGAGGCGAACCGGGGGAACUGAAACAUCUAAGUACCCCGAGGAAAAGAAAUCAACCGAGAUUCCCCCAGUAGCGGCGAGCGAACGGGGAGCAGCCCAGAGCCUGAAUCAGUGUGUGUGUUAGUGGAAGCGUCUGGAAAGGCGCGCGAUACAGGGUGACAGCCCCGUACACAAAAAUGCACAUACUGUGAGCUCGAUGAGUAGGGCGGGACACGUGGUAUCCUGUCUGAAUAUGGGGGGACCAUCCUCCAAGGCUAAAUACUCCUGACUGACCGAUAGUGAACCAGUACCGUGAGGGAAAGGCGAAAAGAACCCCGGCGAGGGGAGUGAAAAAGAACCUGAAACCGUGUACGUACAAGCAGUGGGAGCACAGAGCAAUCUGUGUGACUGCGUACCUUUUGUAUAAUGGGUCAGCGACUUAUAUUCUGUAGCAAGGUUAACCGAAUAGGGGAGCCGAAGGGAAACCGAGUCUUAACUGGGCGUUAAGUUGCAGGGUAUAGACCCGAAACCCGGUGAUCUAGCCAUGGGCAGGUUGAAGGUUGGGUAACACUAACUGGAGGACCGAACCGACUAAUGUUGAAAAAUUAGCGGAUGACUUGUGGCUGGGGGUGAAAGGCCAAUCAAACCGGGAGAUAGCUGGUUCUCCCCGAAAGCUAUUUAGGUAGCGCCUCGUGAAUUCAUCUCCGGGGGUAGAGCACUGUUUCGGCAAGGGGGUCAUCCCGACUUACCAACCCGAUGCAAACUGCGAAUACCGGAGAAUGUUAUCACGGGAGACACACGGCGGGUGCUAACGUCCGUCGUGAAGAGGGAAACAACCCAGACCGCCAGCUAAGGUCCCAAAGUCAUGGUUAAGUGGGAAACGAUGUGGGAAGGCCCAGACAGCCAGGAUGUUGGCUUAGAAGCAGCCAUCAUUUAAAGAAAGCGUAAUAGCUCACUGGUCGAGUCGGCCUGCGCGGAAGAUGUAACGGGGCUAAACCAUGCACCGAAGCUGCGGCAGCGACGCUUAUGCGUUGUUGGGUAGGGGAGCGUUCUGUAAGCCUGCGAAGGUGUGCUGUGAGGCAUGCUGGAGGUAUCAGAAGUGCGAAUGCUGACAUAAGUAACGAUAAAGCGGGUGAAAAGCCCGCUCGCCGGAAGACCAAGGGUUCCUGUCCAACGUUAAUCGGGGCAGGGUGAGUCGACCCCUAAGGCGAGGCCGAAAGGCGUAGUCGAUGGGAAACAGGUUAAUAUUCCUGUACUUGGUGUUACUGCGAAGGGGGGACGGAGAAGGCUAUGUUGGCCGGGCGACGGUUGUCCCGGUUUAAGCGUGUAGGCUGGUUUUCCAGGCAAAUCCGGAAAAUCAAGGCUGAGGCGUGAUGACGAGGCACUACGGUGCUGAAGCAACAAAUGCCCUGCUUCCAGGAAAAGCCUCUAAGCAUCAGGUAACAUCAAAUCGUACCCCAAACCGACACAGGUGGUCAGGUAGAGAAUACCAAGGCGCUUGAGAGAACUCGGGUGAAGGAACUAGGCAAAAUGGUGCCGUAACUUCGGGAGAAGGCACGCUGAUAUGUAGGUGAAGUCCCUCGCGGAUGGAGCUGAAAUCAGUCGAAGAUACCAGCUGGCUGCAACUGUUUAUUAAAAACACAGCACUGUGCAAACACGAAAGUGGACGUAUACGGUGUGACGCCUGCCCGGUGCCGGAAGGUUAAUUGAUGGGGUUAGCGCAAGCGAAGCUCUUGAUCGAAGCCCCGGUAAACGGCGGCCGUAACUAUAACGGUCCUAAGGUAGCGAAAUUCCUUGUCGGGUAAGUUCCGACCUGCACGAAUGGCGUAAUGAUGGCCAGGCUGUCUCCACCCGAGACUCAGUGAAAUUGAACUCGCUGUGAAGAUGCAGUGUACCCGCGGCAAGACGGAAAGACCCCGUGAACCUUUACUAUAGCUUGACACUGAACAUUGAGCCUUGAUGUGUAGGAUAGGUGGGAGGCUUUGAAGUGUGGACGCCAGUCUGCAUGGAGCCGACCUUGAAAUACCACCCUUUAAUGUUUGAUGUUCUAACGUUGACCCGUGAUCCGGGUUGCGGACAGUGUCUGGUGGGUAGUUUGACUGGGGCGGUCUCCUCCUAAAGAGUAACGGAGGAGCACGAAGGUUGGCUAAUCCUGGUCGGACAUCAGGAGGUUAGUGCAAUGGCAUAAGCCAGCUUGACUGCGAGCGUGACGGCGCGAGCAGGUGCGAAAGCAGGUCAUAGUGAUCCGGUGGUUCUGAAUGGAAGGGCCAUCGCUCAACGGAUAAAAGGUACUCCGGGGAUAACAGGCUGAUACCGCCCAAGAGUUCAUAUCGACGGCGGUGUUUGGCACCUCGAUGUCGGCUCAUCACAUCCUGGGGCUGAAGUAGGUCCCAAGGGUAUGGCUGUUCGCCAUUUAAAGUGGUACGCGAGCUGGGUUUAGAACGUCGUGAGACAGUUCGGUCCCUAUCUGCCGUGGGCGCUGGAGAAUUGAGGGGGGCUGCUCCUAGUACGAGAGGACCGGAGUGGACGCAUCACUGGUGUUCGGGUUGUCAUGCCAAUGGCACUGCCCGGUAGCUAAAUGCGGAAGAGAUAAGUGCUGAAAGCAUCUAAGCACGAAACUUGCCCCGAGAUGAGUUCUCCCUGACUCCUUGAGAGUCCUGAAGGAACGUUGAAGACGACGACGUUGAUAGGCCGGGUGUGUAAGCGCAGCGAUGCGUUGAGCUAACCGGUACUAAUGAACCGUGAGGCUUAACCUUACAACGCCGAAG
rnacentral:rRNA from 1 species